AACGAACGCUGGCGGCAUGCCUAACACAUGCAAGUCGAACGAGACCUUCGGGUCUAGUGGCGCACGGGUGCGUAACGCGUGGGAACCUGCCCUUAGGUUCGGAAUAACUCCCCGAAAGGGGUGCUAAUACCGGAUAAUGUCUUCGGACCAAAGAUUUAUCGCCUUUGGAUGGGCCCGCGUUGGAUAGCUAGUUGGUAGGGUAAAAGCCUACCAAGGCGACGAUCCAUAGCUGGUCUGAGAGGAUGAUCAGCCACACUGGGACUGAGACACGGCCCAGACUCCUACGGGAGGCAGCAGUAGGGAAUAUUGGACAAUGGGCGAAAGCCUGAUCCAGCAAUGCCGCGUGAGUGAUGAAGGCCUUAGGGUUGUAAAGCUCUUUUACCCGGGAUGAUAAUGACAGUACCGGGAGAAUAAGCGCCGGCUAACUCCGUG
rnacentral:rRNA from 1 species